UUUAGAUUCAAGCUUUGAUGAGUUAGGUUUUUGUUUUCUUGUCUUUAGGCAGAAUUAGAUACUAGAUAAAGAGAAAUAUACCAAAGAUUUAGCUGUUUAGGUUUGGAGAAAUUCUUGUUGUUUUGUUUGUACUAUUUUAUCCCUUUCCGUAAGCUUUCUUGGUUUGUUAUGUGACAAGUUCUCUUAAGUUCAAUUUAGAUAUGCAAAUGAUG
rnacentral:misc_RNA from 1 species